AGAGUUUGAUCCUGGCUCAGGACGAACGCUGGCGGCGUGCUUAACACAUGCAAGUCGAACGGAAAGGUCUCUUCGGAGAUACUCGAGUGGCGAACGGGUGAGUAACACGUGGGUAAUCUGCCCUGCACUUCGGGAUAAGCCUGGGAAACUGGGUCUAAUACCGGAUAUGACCAUGAGGCGCAUGCCUUUUGGUGGAAAGCUUUUGCGGUGUGGGAUGGGCCCGCGGCCUAUCAGCUUGUUGGUGGGGUGACGGCCUACCAAGGCUACGACGGGUAGCCGGCCUGAGAGGGUGUCCGGCCACACUGGGACUGAGAUACGGCCCAGACUCCUACGGGAGGCAGCAGUGGGGAAUAUUGCACAAUGGGCGCAAGCCUGAUGCAGCGACGCCGCGUGGGGGAUGACGGCCUUCGGGUUG
rnacentral:rRNA from 1 species